UGAGCGGCUGGAUGAUGUUCGUCCU
rnacentral:piRNA from 1 species